CUUGACGAAAAUAAGUAGUGAGAAAUGUAAACAAAGAAAAUGUGUGUUUGCUAGAGCCAUUUCAGUGAUCUGUUCAAAGGCCUGGUCAUAAAACGUGACACCAAAUUGAUAAAAUUGGUUUAACGUGACACCAAGUUGAAAGUUGAUUAAUCUCGUGUUAAGUGUUCGGAAGACUUUCAAAAAUGCAUCCAGAGAAUGGUUUAAUUUUAAUGCUUCUGUUAGUAUUCGAUAGAACCGUUCAUAUCGAGAGUGAAUCAAAGCACGGUGUUUUUGUGUCGACCGACUUUUGGAGCGUGAAUGAUAAGCCGGUAUUGGCCAAUGGUCACAUUGGUUUUGUUCCUUAUGGCGAUUCAAUUUACAUGAAUGGUUUGUACAAUGGCCUAAAAGGUGACAGUCAUCGUGCACGCAUUCCAAAUUAUGCAAAUGUACAAUUCGAACCGUGCACCCAACGGUCGGCCAACAACGCAGAGGUGUGUUCAUAUGCACUCGAUAUUUACAACGGCCUAUUUCGAACUAAAGUUCAGCUGAACGAUGGACUUUUCACUGUGGAGAACAUACAAUACACUCAUCGGUAUCACGAAUCCGCUUUAGUCAAUCAGAUUCGAUUGAAGAGGAAUCAAAUUUCAACAGGAAAUGACAAUGCCAAACUCCAACUGCAUCUAAUCAAAGAAAAUGUAUCUGAAAGUGAUGAUUUAUCGAUAAAAUCAUCGAAAUCAUUGAAAAUCUCCAAUAAAUCUGUAACCAUUCUUGUGGCGUCUACAAAAAUUUUGGAAGAUCCGAUAUAUCAAAGUGAUUUAUCGCCAGUUUCAAUACUUUAUGAGGACAUUCCCAACACAAUUGAACUUCUGACAGAGCAAACUGAAGCGGAAUUCAUUUGGAUAACACUAAUUCAGCUGAAUUCAAGUGAUAUUAAGAAAAUAUUUCUCGAAUUGCAUGAAAAUUCCGUCUUUUUACUAAAAGCUCACACGAAUGAAUGGCAACAGUUCUGGACGGACAAACAUAUGUCUGUUACGGGGAAUGAAGAGUUAUCCAAUGCUAUCGCUGCAAGUGUUUAUGCUCUCGCGUCAGCACUGCCGUCACUUAAUACAUCACGGCCAAGACAAAUAUACUAUGGAAUAAGUCCAGCCGGCUUAGGAUUGAAUCGAGAGCUGGAGGUUUACAACGGUCAUUCAUUUUGGGACACCGAAAUUUGGAUGCAUCCAACGAUUUUGCUCCUAGAACCAGAGUGGAGCAAAGAAUUGCUGAACUAUAGGCAUUUUUUAAGGGAUACAGCUCAUGAUAACGCAGUUAAUACCAGUUAUAAGGGAUACAGGUUUCCUUGGGAAUCAGCCUUCACGGGAAUCGAUGUGACAAAAACCGACUUCCCUGAAAUCGUCGAGUAUGAACAGCACAUCACCGCCGGCAUUGGCCACGCAUUGCGAAAGCACUUUUUUACCACGCAUGACUUUCAAUGGUUUCAAUCGAUUGGCUGUGAUUUAGCUUACGGAACGGCCGCAUUCUGGGAGAGUCGUGUAUCAUGGAAUGAAACAACGCAGCGAUAUGAUAUCAAUAGUGUCAUGGGACCGGAUGAAGAUCAUAAGAAUGUCAGUAAUAACGCAUAUACUAACGUUGUGGCCGCGUUGAACUUGCAUUUUGGAUCAUUCGCCUCAUGUGUCUGCAAUCAGCUGAAUCCUGUCAAAUAUCCUCUCAACUCGAAUUGGACAUCGAUUGCUCGACACAUAGCAUUACUUUACGAUCGUCAACUAGAUUACCACCCUCAAUAUGAUGGCUAUAAUUUAAACAUAUCCAUUAAACAAGCCGAUGUAGCUUUGCUUGGUUACCCCUUGCAAUUUGCCAAUAUUCGAGCUUCGACGCGUCGAAAUAACUUGAAUUUCUACACAAAUGUAACUCGACCAAACGGACCAGCGAUGACAUGGUCAAUGCACGCAAUCGGACACUUGGAAACUGAUUCGACUCCGCCAAACGAAGAGAUUUUCAAUCGCACUUUCGUUCCUUAUAUUCGAUCGCCAUAUUUUGUGUGGAAUGAAUACGUGAACGGAGUUCCGAAUGGUGCCAGCAAUUUUAUCACCGGAGCCGGUGGAUUUUUGCAAUUGAUUAUGUACGGUUUCGCUGGAAUUCGGAUCAAUUCCGACUCGCUGAGCAUUCAACAGCCACAAUUGCCACCGAACACAACUAAAUUGACACUAAACGGCAUUUCGUAUAUGGGCGCACUGUGCGAGAUUCAAAUAAAUCAGCAGAACAUUGGGAUCAACAUUCGAAAAGGUCGCACUAAUUUGCAAGUGUACAUUGAUGACAUUGAACAAGAUACGAAUUUAAAAAAAUUUGAAUUCAAAAAACAUCAGACAUUGAAGAUCAAACCCAAAACCAAAUCGUAUGUCGAAUUUUGUGAUCAACCCAAUGAUACAGUUAAAGAAUUAAACAUCAAUUGAAGGAUUCGGACAGAUUUUGGACGUGCAAUUUUAGCUAUUUGCAGAGAAAAAGAAUAACAAAAAUAAAGAUGAAUAAAAAAGACGAGUAAAAACAAUAUUUUUCAUGAUUAUGAAUAUAUUUCAAUGAAUUUGAUGAUUACACAAUUGGUUCCAAUGCAUCUAUAUGAACUGAAGUGUGGUUAAACCACACAAUUGUGACAUGAUUAAACAAGAGCAACGCGAAUUUAUUUUCUGUUAAGUAAAAUUGUUAGGUUUUGCAUGACUGGCCGAACGACAUGACUUUCCACUACGUAGACGUCAAGCAUUUCGAGUGCACGUAAUGAAACCAUUCGAUCGAUCCAUUGUUGACUAACUUUACACACGCAAUCGCUCGUAGAAGCCACGAUCGUAGAGCUCGUUCAAAAUGGUACUGAUUGAUGUUUCUUCUUCUGUAUUGCCCCACAAAUCAAUGAUCAAAUUCUUCAGCUUCGUGUUGACACCACGGCCGUAGCCAGAACGAAUUUCCCGGGAGAGCGGAGGAAAUUUUUGGAAGAGCUCAACAAAAAUCAAUAAAUCAUUGUCAAAUCAAAAUUUGGAGACCUAAAAAAAGCUCAUCACUUCUAAAAAUCGAUUCUGUCUAGUGUAAAACGGUUUGAAAUCUCAUUCUAUCUAUGUAGUUUAAAUUUAAUAAUCUACAGCACUAUUUAGGUCAGCCUGAAUUGCCAAACAACCAUCAACUCGUUUUAUUUGCAUUGAAAAGCGAGUGUCAUCGGCAACGCAAAGUGCAAAAAUGUAAAAAUGCAGAAAAUUAAAGGGGGAUUUGUCGAAACCGCUCGUUUACAUGUGAAUUAUUUUUGUGUUUCUGGUGAGAGAUAUGGAGCAAGUGUCUCAGGCAAAGAUCUUAGAAUGUUCUAAAUCAUCGAUGCAUUGCAAAAGACAUCCGUCUUCUAUC